GUUAUAGUGUUAAUUGAGUUGUUUGUGAGUUCAUCUUUAUUACUAAUGAAUAAGAAUCUUCACUUAUACAUUAUUAGUCCCAACUAAUGAUCGUCACAAUGCAGUUGUUCAUUGUCUUUAUUUCUUGCAUCAUUUUAUUAACGGAUCAGGGUCAUUCUUGGCGAAUUAUAACAAAGAACAAAGGAGAAGCUCCAACAAGCACGCCAACUUGUAAUUGUAAGCCAGUUCCGUUUGAUCCGAGAUGUCCAAGUUUUGAACCCUUACUGGUUCCUUUUGGAUAUAUGCCAGCAGUAUGGAAACUUGAAUUAAUAGUGAACGACAAUGACCUAGAUUUGUUGACGAAUAAGAGUUUUGAAAAGUCCGUAGAAUAUUGUCAAGAUAAAAAUCAUUGGAGAUUACAACCUUUUGAAGAUGAAACUGGUUUUAACGAUGUGAGUGAUCUGCCAAAAGUUGUUUUAUUAAAACAAGAAAUUCAGAAAGAUGAAUCAAAACCAUCUACAACCACCACGAUGAAUAACUACACUACGCAUAUUACUUACUUCCGUGAGGUAGCUCGUCCAUCAAUUGAUAAUGUUGUUCAAACUUAUAAUUCCCAUAGUUUAAAGGCUCCGAUAUAUAUUAAAAUCGAUCUACAUUGGCCAGUGGUGGAAGAUAAUUAUAAUGGAAGACGGAGAUCACUAUUCAACGUUGUUCGUGUGAAUUAUUAAAAUUUCACGAGUCGUAAUUCUUUAUGCCGAAGUAAUCCAUUAUGUAUAUUGUGGAAUCACAUUAUCUAUAUGAUUUGAAAUGUAUCCGGAUUUUGAAACAAUCAUAGAAUAAUAAAUUACAUAUUUCUUACCGUUAUCUCUGGUAACUAUACUUCAACAAUAAAAAUAAAAUUUUCCGAAUAAAAAUUAAGCUCUAAAUCAUAAUAGUAUCAUUCUAAAGAUCCCUUUCCUCUCUUUGUCUCUAAACAUCAAACGGAACUAGGAUCUGCAUCGAGGCAUUUACGAUACAACACUUGAGGUUGUUUUUUCCAAGUAUUGAUUAACUCAAGGCCUAACAUCUAGUUUAAAAAACGAUUUGCCGGACAACUAGAAAGAUAAUUUACUAUUUGAGCGAAGAAUUCUAAUUUAUUUGAGUUGGACAAAAAUAAAACAGGUUUUUAUUCAAGAGACGUGGUCGUGUCUCACGCCGAUGCACCGAACAACGUAAAGGGGAGAAUAAAAAAAAAUCUAUUGAAUUUUGAUUUAAAAUAAACUAAGAUACAUCGUAUAAGUAAAUGACUCACUCAUGAUUGCAACUUGAAAUAAAUUAUUUCGUCCAGCAUUAAAAAAGUUACACCUCAUAACAACGUCUCAUGUACCAAAAAUUUUUCAAAUUUUAUAAUUUUAUCAUCCACAUUCAUGCUGUACAUAUUAUAGAAAGAGACCAGAAUAGCCGUAUACAUACAUUAACAAGAGACAGAAAGUGUAGUAAGCGCUUAAGAAUUGAAAAUAAUUACGAACAAGGGUUCUUAAAAUUCUCAUUUACGAUUAUGUUCAAUGAAAUUAAUGGAUUCUAGUAGGAAUCAAGAAUUGUUAGUUUGGUUAGUAAAAGCAUAUAAGUAUUCAGAGUUUUACAGUCAACGAAUGUGGAACUGACACAGAUAAAUUAAGUAAGAAAUUAAUUUAGAGAGCAGAAAAUAUUUGUUUAAAAUUCUUGCUGUUGCGAGUUUAUUGAUACUAGCAAAGAUUUUCGAAAUAACUGUGUCGGUAUUCUUAAGCAAUUAAAAAAUAGUUGAGAAAUAUUGUUUACGUAGGAUUUAGAUUUUAUAAUAAUCAAUCUAGGACAAGUUUGUGACAAACAAGUCGUUAAUUGAAACAAUGCUAAGUGUUAUCGAAUUUCUUAAUAGUUGGAAAUUCCCAGUCGAUUGUGUUAUCUACUAUAAAUUAGUAUAAGGAGCUGAUGAUAGCUUGUAUUUCUAGUUAGAGUAUUGACUCUGGAUUGAUAAGAUGAAGUUAAAAUUGUUGCUGCUGCUCAUUGGAGCAUUAGCGAUAAGUUCAAAGUCUGAACCAUUAACUAGACCUGAGAAUUCUAACUAUGGCUCUCGAGGAUCUGUUAAAAUGAGUUCUGCCCAAAAUUUUCCGUUAGUUUGGGAAGCUGAAACAUUGGAAGACUAUGACCCAAAUAUGGUAGAGAAAAAUGCAGAAUUAUUUGAUCCUCAUCGUGGUAGAAGUCAUUGGAAAUUACGACCAUUUGAAACUAGUAGUGUUUCUCAUACUGACUUUCACAUAAAAAAUGUUUAUCUGGUGUUCUCAGAAGCUACUUUCGACGACAGAAAGCCAACAUCCCAAACUACAAUAAAUGGCGAAAAUGCGAUACAGUAUUCCUUUCGUCAGGUGGUUCGUCCUACAAUUAAUGAUGUUGUACUAACUUAUAAUACCAAUACUGGGGAUGCUCCAAUAUAUAUUAUACCGGAUCCAAGUUUGCCAGUGACUGGUUAUAUUCAUAAUAAAAAACUGAGAAUAAUCUUCCACGUCCGUCGUGUUAAUUUUUAAGAUGAUGUUCUCCAGUAUUUUUACCGUCGAAGCAAUCUAUUUCAUUCUUUCUUAAAUAAUGAUAUGCGUUUAUUAAAAAAUGUAACUGAAGUUACAUAAUCAAUCAUAAAAUUUAUUAAAUAAAGUGAAAAAAAAACUUUCUCAAAAGUCUAA